CGCAGCUACACAUGCAGUCGAGCGGUAGCACAGAGAGCUUGCUCUCGGGUGACGAGCGGCGGACGGGUGAGUAAUGUCUGGGAAACUGCCUGAUGGAGGGGGAUAACUACUGGAAACGGUAGCUAAUACCGCAUAACGUCGCAAGACCAAAGUGGGGGACCUUCGGGCCUCAUGCCAUCAGAUGUGCCCAGAUGGGAUUAGCUAGUAGGUGGGGUAACGGCUCACCUAGGCGACGAUCCCUAGCUGGUCUGAGAGGAUGACCAGCCACACUGGAACUGAGACACGGUCCAGACUCCUACGGGAGGCAGCAGUGGGGAAUAUUGCACAAUGGGCGCAAGCCUGAUGCAGCCAUGCCGCGUGUGUGAAGAAGGCCUUCGGGUUGUAAAGCACUUUCAGCGGGGAGGAAGGCGUUAAGGUUAAUAACCUUGGCGAUUGACGUUACCCGCAGAAGAAGCACCGGCUAACUCCGUGCCAGCAGCCGCGGUAAUACGGAGGGUGCAAGCGUUAAUCGGAAUUACUGGGCGUAAAGCGCACGCAGGCGGUCUGUCAAGUCGGAUGUGAAAUCCCCGGGCUCAACCUGGGAACUGCAUUCGAAACUGGCAGGCUAGAGUCUUGUAGAGGGGGGUAGAAUUCCAGGUGUAGCGGUGAAAUGCGUAGAGAUCUGGAGGAAUACCGGUGGCGAAGGCGGCCCCCUGGACAAAGACUGACGCUCAGGUGCGAAAGCGUGGGGAGCAAACAGGAUUAGAUACCCUGGUAGUCCACGCCGUAAACGAUGUCGAUUUGGAGGUUGUGCCCUUGAGGCGUGGCUUCCGGAGCUAACGCGUUAAAUCGACCGCCUGGGGAGUACGGCCGCAAGGUUAAAACUCAAAUGAAUUGACGGGGGCCCGCACAAGCGGUGGAGCAUGUGGUUUAAUUCGAUGCAACGCGAAGAACCUUACCUGGUCUUGACAUCCACAGGACUUUCCAGAGAUGGAUUGGUGCCUUCAGGCACUGUGAGACAGGUGCUGCAUGGCUGUCGUCAGCUCGUGU
rnacentral:rRNA from 1 species